GGGAGGCAGCAGUGGGGAAUCUUGCGCAAUGGGCGAAAGCCUGACGCAGCGACGCCGCGUGUGGGAUGACGGCCUUCGGGUUGUAAACCACUGUCGGGAGGGACGAAGCUCUGACGGUACCUCCAAAGGAAGCACCGGCUAACUCUGUGCCAGCAGCCGCGGUAAUACAGAGGGUGCAAGCGUUGUCCGGAAUCACUGGGCGUAAAGGGCGCGUAGGCGGCCUGAUAAGUAGGGGGUGAAAUCCUGCGGCUUAACUGCAGGGCUGCCUCCUAGACUGUCGGGCUCGAGCACGGUAGAGGCAGAUGGAAUUCCCGGUGUAGCGGUGGAAUGCGUAGAGAUCGGGAAGAACAUCGGUGGCGAAGGCGGUCUGCUGGGCCGUUGCUGACGCUGAGGCGCGACAGCGUGGGGAGCAAACAGGAUUAGAUACCCCGGU
rnacentral:rRNA from 1 species